rnacentral:piRNA from 1 species
UGAUAGAGAGAGGGGCACUCGCAGU